rnacentral:rRNA from 1 species
AUUGAACGCUGGCGGCAGGCCUAACACAUGCAAGUCGAGCGGAUGAAGGGAGCUUGCUCCUGGAUUCAGCGGCGGACGGGUGAGUAAUGCCUAGGAAUCUGCCUGGUAGUGGGGGAUAACGUCCGGAAACGGGCGCUAAUACCGCAUACGUCCUGAGGGAGAAAGGGGGGGAUCUUCGGACCUCACGCUAUCAGAUGAGCCUAUGUCGGAUUAGCUAGUUGGUGGGGUAAAGGCCUACCAAGCCGACGAUCCGUAACUGGUCUGAGAGGAUGAUCAGUCACACUGGAACUGAGACACGGUCCAGACUCCUACGGGAGGCAGCAGUGGGGAAUAUUGGACAAUGGGCGAAAGCCUGAUCCAGCCAUGCCGCGUGUGUGAAGAAGGUCUUCGGAUUGUAAAGCACUUUAGGUUGGAAGGAAAAGCAGUAAGUUAAUACCUUGCUGUUUUGACGUUACCAACAGAAUAAGCACCGGCUAACUUCGUG